rnacentral:lncRNA from 1 species
AGUUCAGAGAAAACUUCAGGAAAAACUGUCCAGCAGAGAGAGGCAGUAGCUUGAACAAGGGGGCAGUAACUGGCACAGCUGGGCCUCUUGUCCUUCCCGAAUCCUUGUCUUCAACCUCAUUGGGAUACACAGGAUCCAGCUGUUCCCCUCUGAUGGGCAGAAGAAUGCAGAUGGCGUAUCUGGUUUUUGUUGUUUUUCAGCUAUAUAAUUGACACUUGUAAAUAUCUCCAGAGCCAGGCGAGGCCAGUAGAAUACUAAACAAAUAAGGGUUCUCAGAAUCUGUAGGCCGUUUCCUGGAGUGAAGGCUAGGCGGGCAUGGAGCCAGGGAGCUCUACCUGCUGUCCAGAAGCCCAAAGCCACCCUCAGAUUCACACUGCCAGCUGCCUGUUUGACACCUCUGUCCUCUUGGAAACACCAAACCUUGAACCUCUGGUUCUCACUGCUCCCUCACCACUUAAACCUGCCCUGACUCCAUGGACUUGUCCAUCUCAGCCAAAAACAACCAACAAGCUCACACCGUCCUUCCUGCCUCCUCUCUCGGCACAUUCCCCACAGUACCUUCAGAGUAUCUCUGGAUCAGACGAUGUCUGGAUCUCUCCCAGCUUCCAUGCUCAUCCACGUCACUGUCAUUCUGCUGGAUUAUUGCAAAUAUCUCCUCAGAGUCCUCCUUGCGCCUCACCCUGCCCCUUGCAGCCUCCACCCAGCAGGACAUAGGGUGGUCUUUCAAAACAACGAACAUAUCCUGCCUCCCCUGUGGUUAACGCUCUUGAGGGCGUGCUGGU